UACGGAGGGGGCGAGCGUUAUUCGGAAUUAUUGGGCGUAAAGGGCGCGUAGGCGGCUGUACAAGUCAAAGGUGAAAUCCCUCGGCUCAACUGAGGAACUGCCUUUGAAACUGUACGGCUUGAGGCCGGGAGGGGUAGCGGAAUUCCCAGUGUAGCGGUGAAAUGCGCAGAUAUCGGGAGGAACACCAAUUGCGAAGGCAGCUCGCUGGGACGUCGACUGACGCUGAGACGCGAAAGCG
rnacentral:rRNA from 1 species